CCCUUAGAUGUUCUGGGCCGCACGCGCGCUACACUGAUGCAUUCAACGAGUCUAAAACCUGCUCUGAUAGGGGUGGGUAAUCUUUUGAAUGUGCAUCGUGAUUGGGAUAGAUGAUUGCAAUUUUUCAUCUUCAACGAGGAAUGCCUAGUAAACGCAAGUCAUCAGCUUGCAUUGAUUACGCCCUGCCCUUUGUACACACCGCCCGUCGCUCCUACCGAUUGAAUGAUCCGAUGAAUAUCAUGGAUUGAGGAUGCAAGUAGGUUCGCCUAUCUUCAUCUUCGAGAAGUGAAGUAAAUCUUAUCAUUUAGAGGAAGGAGAAGUCGUAACA
rnacentral:rRNA from 1 species